rnacentral:lncRNA from 1 species
GAGGCUUACAACUGUCUGACCAGCAAACACAGCAGGGUCCAGAGGUGAAUCUCUGCUUUAAGUGGUCAGAGAAGAUGAGCGAGAAGAGUUGGUGUAUCUGUACCCUGCCUCUGACAUCAACCACAUAUAGAGCCUGGAGGUAGUGGAGCAUUCACCGGACCUGACCUCAACUGGACAGAAGAAUGUGGUGGGCUGCUGGUGGUCAACACCGUUUUUCGCUUCCCUCACCCUUCCAGCCUAAUUCAGUGAGGACCAGAGUCUCUGCCCCGCCCGGACUUGGAGUCUUUAAGGCUGAGUGAGCACAGUAGAGCAUCUCG